rnacentral:sRNA from 1 species
GUCACAAUCUUAUUGAUGUCUUUAUCAAC